GAUGAACGCUGGCGGCGUGCCUAAUACAUGCAAGUCGAGCGAACAGACGAGGAGCUUGCUCCUUCGACGUUAGCGGCGGACGGGUGAGUAACACGUAGGUAACCUACCUAUAAGACUGGGAUAACUUCGGGAAACCGGAGCUAAUACCGGAUAAUAUUUCGAACCGCAUGGUUCGAUAGUGAAAGAUGGCUUUGCUAUCACUUAUAGAUGGACCUGCGCCAUAUUAGCUAGUUGGUAAGGUAACGGCUUACCAAGGCAACGAUACGUAGCCGACCUGAGAGGGCGAUCGGCCACACUGGAACUGAGACACGGUCCAGACUCCUACGGGAGGCAGCAGUAGGGAAUCUUCCGCAAUGGGCGAAAGCCUGACGGAGCAACGCCGCGUGAGUGAUGAAGGUCUUCGGAUCGUAAAACUCUGUUAUUAGGGAAGAAAAAACGUGUAAGUAACUGUGCACGUCUUGACGGUACCUAAUCAGAAAGCCACGGCUAACUACGUG
rnacentral:rRNA from 1 species